CUAGAUACUUCCCAAAUUAGAUUUAGUUCUUUUUGCCAUUUUUUAACCCGACUUUAAUUAAAUAUUAGAAUAUUAAUAUCUUAAUUGCAAACAGAUCUAAAUAUUCAAUUUAAAAUGCAAGAAAUGAUAUAGAUUUGCUUCGAGGACGCUAUCUUGCCGUUCAUCUGCCGCGAUGUUGAAUUCUUUAGUCAAGCAAAUUUCGUGCCUGAUAAUGAAAACUUCUGAAGUGUUCGCGAAAGUAGCAGCUUAGUAUUGUAACGAACGGGCUUUCUAUGAGUUGCAGCGGCUAGCUCAGAUAGUUUAUAUGUUUUUCCCACCCAAUUUUUGAUUUGUCUGAUAGCUUGUUCUUGUCCGAAAAAGAAGAAUACAGGGUUUCAGAUUUACGGCAGCUUAAUUAAGGGCACACUCGAUAUUUACUCGGCGUCAUUCUCUCGCCAUCCUUCCCUUGUCGUCAUGUGUCGUCCCCGACAAUGGGCCGAGUGUCGGCUUGAACGAGAGCUAGGAUAUUGUGGUGGCGGAAUCUCAAGGUAUGUCGUCCGUUAGGUCGAAUCGGAGCUCUUCUCAGAACUUCCUUUGCAAACACCCGGAAGCACACGUCUAUUAUGACCGCUCCUGUUACAGGGCACCAAUCAAAAACUGCACAAUACCUUUCCGACCACGCCAGGUCCUUACCGUCUCCUCCUGCAGUAUCCUCUCCAUGUGAAACUCAACGUUGGAGCCUCAGAGUUGUAAACUCUCUCUUAAGGUCCAGCAACGUCUAAGGUCUGCACUGUUAACUGAGUGACCUUGGCCGACUCGAGUCUAAGGUCCAGCGGUACCUUUACCAGCGGUACCUUUACCAGCGGUACCAUGUUCCAAAAACCAUUAUUUACCGUUUGACCUGGGUGAACUUGACUUCUUUCGCAUUCCAUCUUCGCUUUUCUAUUUACUCUGGCUCACGGCAGAGUGCGCGCGAAUCGAGAAGCUAUGAGCAAAGCGAUUUGAUGGCAGAGUGAGAGCUUUGCGAGAAACGAGCUACAUUGCUCUCUUUUAGUUAUUAAUGUGAAAGUAAUAGAUUCCGACGAAGAAUUUUUUGCAUCAAGCGCAACUAUUAAAUUUCUGUUAAAAAAAACUGGCAUCCACCCCCUUAACUGCAGUAGAACUAAAAAGGGCGAAUUCAAUAAUUUAUAUAAUGACUUUCGAAACCACCCAGAAAGGUUCUGUACAGAAUGGAGAAAAAUCUUCAGAAAAUCAGAAAUCUUCGGCUGCUGCUGCACUGCAGUUUGUUAUAAAACGCUGUUUGUUUGCUGCAAAUAUUGAAGUCUUUCAGCCCGCAUGAACAUCUGAAGCUUUUAUAUAUUUUGUUGGGAAAUUAGAUUCGAAAAUUAGUUAUCGAACGAUUGGCGGUUUUUGAAGCGUAAUGAAACCGUCUCAAAUAAAUUGGGUUUUUGUGCUAUUUGAGUACUGUGAUUUACAGAGCACCCAACACAAGAACCAAAACAUGCAACGAGAUGGACUAAGUCUCACCAGUAAUUUCGUGCUAAAUGCAGUAGGAACAUAAUCCGUUGCUUACCAUCAAAAAAAUAGAUUGAUAUGAAUGUCUGUACUCGCGGAAGGACCAGGAAAGGGAAAAGGUUUCUUCAAAUCGAAGAAUAAACGGACGACGACAGUACAUUGAAAAACCAAACCUGCAACAAUUACAAUCUUAUUAACAUCCCUGCCACUUUGUCCCGAGACUAAGACAAGUAAAUAAUGUUUCAGCCAUGAACUUCCAUGAAUUUUUUAAAUUCUCACUCAACUUCUAAAACGUGCAAUUACUGUCAUUUCUAAAAUUGUACACUAACAAAACAAGAGAAAAUGCUAUUGUUGAGUUUCCCGACUAUCAGAUACCCGUUACUGAGCGAAUGCGCAAUUUCAUCAUUGUUCUGGAAUAUCGAUAUUGGGGAAUCAAAUGAGGAAAAAUGUAAUACAUGUUCCAAAGUGCGGGCGUGACCGGUUUGGCGGCUUAAGUUUUUUGGCAAAUCGAUAGAAUAACGACUAAUACGACUAAUAAAACUAUGAAAAUAUAUCCAACAAUUUUUCAAAAUCAAUAGAAAUUUGGAAGACUAUGAAAAAUUAUCGAAAAGUUUUUCAAAAAUGUGGGUUUGGCAGUUUCGGGUGGUUUUAGGGCGUGGGCGUAUCAAAAAGCUUUAUGGCAAAUCGGUAGAUAUUUACAAGACCAAUAAAAUUAUGAAAAAAUAUCCAAAAAAUUUUCGAAAAUUUGGGGGUCGACGGUUUCUGCGGUUUUAUGGCGUUGGAGUGGGCGUGGCUGAAUCUUAACUCUCUAGCUUUUAUAGUUUCUGAGAUCUCGACGUGCAUACGGACAGUAUGGGCAGGGCAGAUGGACAGACGGAAAUGGUUAAAUCGACGCAGCUAUUGAUCCUGAUCACAAAUAUAUAUACUUUAUACAGGUUGAACAAAUCUUUUCAACGCAUCUAUUAUACCCACCCAACAAUUUUUCAAAAUUGUGGUCGUGGCAGUACUGGGCGGUUUUAGGGCGUGGUGGUGGAGUGGGCGUUGCAAAAAUUUAUUAAAAUAUAAUUAAAUAUAAAAAUGAUUGGGGCUGGCAGUUUUGGGCGGUUUGUGUGAGCGUGAGCCAAACAAUUUGCGCUGCUCUAAGUCUCUAGAAUAUGUAUGCUUAAUCUCUAGUUGUUAUAGUUCCUGAAAUCUCGACGUUCAUACGGUUGGUCGGAAGACGGACAGUGUUAGAUCGACUCGACUAUUGAUACCGAUCAAGAAUAUAUAUAUUAAGAACAUAUAAUAUAUAGUCAGAAACGCUUCCUUCUGCCUGAAUCUUUU